AUACAAUAAAGAAGAAACCUGAUCUUGGUUUGGUCUCUCAGGCUACCAUAUGAAGGAAUGUAUAUAUAUUUCUAUAUAUAUUAAGAACCCAAUGUAUUCUUCAAACUUUUUGAGGAUCAAUUCCACAAUUUCAUGAAAAUCUUGGCCCAUUCAUGCCAGGAAGAGUCUGAGGAGAUAAGGAAUGAGUUAAAGCAUUCUGAAUUUAUUUGGACCGAAUACUGUAUGAAGUUAAAAGAAACAGACGAGAAGAUUAUAAAGGAUGAAAAACACCUUGAGGAGUUAGUGAAGCAAAAAGCAGAAAUCCAGGAAGAUGUAAAAUGUUGGAACAGCAAAGUUGUCCAUCUUGAUAAACAAGUCCUGCUAAUGAUCAAGUGGAAUCCAGAAUAUACAAUAUGGAGGAUUUCUGAGAAGCUGAAUGUACCAAGCAGGCCCAGAAUUUAACAAAAAAUCUCCAAAGCGCCCCCCCACCCCGCAAAAAAAGAGCAAAGAUACAGUGAUAUUAGAACCACCAGCUGGAAUGUUCUUGCCUUUUUUUUUUUUAGCUGUGUAUUAGUUUUUUUCUAUUAGUGGUGCCAGCAAUUGCUGCCUACAGAUAUUGAGGACACAACUAUAUUCAAAUAGAGCCAAUACUUAUUAACAAGCCUGUUUUGUACUUUUAUUUUUUUUUCUACAUAUUUUUCCACCUGGGAUUGAUGACCAGAUAUACUCCAGCAGGUAUCACCUGGUUAUUAAGACCAAGACAAUACAAAGACAGAUAAGCACAACAGGGAUAAUGUGGAGCAUGGAACUGCUCUAUUAGGUAACCACCUAAAGGUGUGCCAAAUUAAGUGUAGCAAAAAUCUGAUUUGUUAUUGCAAAUUUUCUUCAAAAGCAAAGUUAUUCUUCUGAACAUCAUAAAAAUAUUUCAGAGGUAAUUGAGUUAUUUUAGGAAUUAGGAAAAUAUU
ensembl:lncRNA